AUUGACUUUGUGUGGAAAACAUACAUAUCAUGGAUGAAUAAAUCUUUAUACUCGCUUGCAGCAAAGCAGUUCUCAGGGAAGUGCAUUGAUUUCUCCUGUCCCCCUCCAGCUCGCAGCUCUCUGGUCAAAGUUUGCCAGGCAGAAACACACUAAAUGUCACUGUUGACUCCUCUCUGCUACCUUUUCUAUUUCAGGAUCCCACUGAUGACCUUACGUACAGCAAGGAGCCCAGCAGCGAUGCUCAUCCCUCCCAUGAAGCUCACGCAAGCUGCGAGAGGCACAGGCAAAGCACCACUGGGGAGCUGUGGGAGAAGGGCCCGGAGGAUCCCUGGCCGUGGGGAAGGGCUGGGUUUUGACACAUCUGUACCAGGUGCUGCAAUGACUGAACGACAACAAUACAUCUGUGCCGGAGGAACAGGACCUGCUGCCAGCUCUCCGGGAUGGCAGCCAUGGGUGGGAGUUACACCCGGAGCAUUGGGCAGAGACCGGAGCCUGCGAAGGGACGAGGAGCUGGUCCUUCUGCCCCAGCUUAGCGCCGGCCGGCCGGCCCCUCCUGCCGCCUAGGACGCAGGGUGGGCACGAGGAAACUUGGCGAACAGCGAGUACUUGUGCGCAGUUUGUACACAGACUGCUUUCCUCUGGCUGGGCAAGGUGUCGGGAUGGGCUGUGCCCUGUCAGGUCGCAGCUCAGGAAGUUUAUUACAAAAUUCCCUGAGCCUGACCACGGGCAGGAGCAGGCUGUGAUGGGCUCAAGCAGCUCCGGUGAGGGCACACGGGGGCCUUCGGCUCCAUCCUCCCGGCAGCCACCGGCCCUCAUUCAAGCGAUGCCAUAAAAACUCCUUCUUCUGGCCUUAAGGAAAAGCAGCGCUCCCCAAGGGGUGCGCGGGACAAGGGGUGACAGAUUUCCACUCCCCACAACAGAGCUGUAAUUCAUUCUUUUUAUUAAAAGAAAUUGAGGUAAGUGAAAUA